GGCAUGGUGGCUUAGUGGUUAGCAUUGUUGCCUCUUAUCGCCAGGGUUGGGGGUUCGAAUCCCACAUCUGUCC